UCCAUUUCUUUCAACUUUAACUGGUACUCCAAUCUCAUUUUCUCCAUUUCAAUGUUUUCUUUCAUUUUCAUUUCCAUCUCAAACUUUGCCAGUUGAAUCUGAGCAUCAUCUGAAACAGUAACAGAAGUUUCAGACUCCUCUGUAAGCUUCAUGUGACUAGCUAACAAGUCAAUUAUCUCUGUCUUCUUUAAUCCUGGGGCUAGACAU